GACGAACGCUGGCGGCGUGCUUAACACAUGCAAGUCGAACGGAAAGGCCUGCUUUCCCUUGUGGAUUGCGGGUACUCGAGUGGCGAACGGGUGAGUAACACGUGAGUGAUCUGCCCCCAACUUGGGUAUAAGCCUGGGAAACUGGGUCUAAUUCCCGAUAGGACUGCAGGGUGGUGCCUGUGGUGGAAAACGAUUUUCUAGUGGUUGGGGAUGAGCUCGCGGCCUAUCAGCUUGUUGGUGGGGUAAUGGCCUACCAAGGCGGCGACGGGUAGCCGGCCUGGGGGGGUGGACGGCCACAUUGGGACUGAGUUACGGCCCAGACUCCUACGGGAGGCAGCAGUGGGGAAUAUUGCACAAUGGGCGGACGCCUGAUGCAGCGACGCCGCGUGGGGGAUGACGGCCUUCGGGUUGUAAACUCCUUUCGACCGCGAGGAAGCCACCUGGUUGGAAGGGUGGUGACGGUAGUGGUAGAAGAAGCACCGGCUAACUACGUG
rnacentral:rRNA from 1 species